rnacentral:misc_RNA from 1 species
CGCCCAAAGAACGCCUGGAAAUCGCCAAAAGGGCGUCGCUCUGUACCAAUUGUUUAGGCAAGGGACACGCUCUCACUCAAUGCUCCGCGGGAUCAUGUCGCAUCUGUAGACAGCGACAUCACACGUAUCUGCAUCAAGACCAGGGGCAUAGCAAAACACGAACACGUGUCGACCGAACAUCGAGCGGCCGAUCGUCGAGCGACCGAUCAUCCAGCGGUCGAUCUUCGCCCAGUUCACCGUCCCCGCGUUCGUCACAUCGUUCGAGACGCUCAUCUUCGUCUCCCCGAGCGUCUCGCCAGUCGUCUCGUCGAGAUUCUCACCGAGAGUCUCCCCGAACGUCUCCGCGAACAUCCCCGAAACGCGAAUCUCGGUUACCGCGAUCGUCGGCAUCGGGAUCGACCAUAUCGUCCAGCCCUAAACGACACGGAAAACAAUGACGUCAUCAGACGAGCCUGUUAGGGACCGAACCACAGAAAACGGACUCAUCGACCCCGCUCCCUUUUGAACAAUUGCAACACGACUUGUUAGUCACAGCGCAGGUCAACAUCUUGAAUAA